rnacentral:rRNA from 1 species
GAACUGUAGAGUUUGAUCCUGGCUCAGAUUGAACGCUGGCGGCAUGCCUUACACAUGCAAGUCGAACGGCAGCACGGGAGCGGUCCUGGUGGCGAGUGGCGAACGGGUGAGUAAUGUAUCGGAACGUGCCCAGUCGUGGGGGAUAACGUAGGGAAACUUACGCUAAUACCGCAUACGACCUACGGGUGAAAGCAGGGGAUCUUCGGACCUUGCGCGAUUGAAUGAGCCGAUGUCGGAUUAGCUAGUUGGCGGGGUAAAGGCCCACCAAGGCGACGAUCCGUAGCUGGUCUGAGAGGAUGAUCAGCCACNNNNNNNNNNNNNNNNNNNNNUACACACCGCCCGUCACACCAUGGGAGCGGGUUCUGCCAGAAGUAGUUAGCCUAACCGCAAGGAGGGCGAUUACCACGGCAGGGUUCGUGACUGGGGUGAAGUCGUAACAAGGUAGCCGUAUCGGAAGGUGCGGCUGGAUCACCUCCUUU